AGCCUUUAGCAAACAACAAGUAUUAAAGGUGAUGCCUGCCCAGUGACCCUCAAAGUUCAACGGCCGCGGUAUCCUAACCGUGCGAAGGUAGCGCAAUCAAUUGUCCCAUAAAUUGAGACUUGUAUGAAUGGCUAAACGAGGUCUUAACUGUCUCUUGCAGAUAAUCAGUGAAAUUAGUAUUCCCGUGCAAAAGCGAGAAUGUGACCAUAAGACGAGAAGACCCUGUGGAACUUAAAAAUAACAAUCACCCCUCACCAACAUUACCCGCCGGGCCCACCUACAUAAAAUACCUGAUUGACAUUUUUCGGUUGGGGCGACCUUGGAGAAAAACAAAUCCUCCAAACCUACAGACCACAACUCUUCACUAAGAUAAACCUAUCAAAGUACUAAUAGUAAUUUAGACCCAAUACAAUUGACCAAUGAACCAAGCUACCCCAGGGAUAACAGCGCAAUCUCCUCCAAGAGCCCAUAUCGACAAGGAGGUUUACGACCUCGAUGUUGGAUCAGGACAACCUAAUGGUGCAGCCGCUAUUAAGGGUUCGUUUGUUCAACGAUUAACAGUCCU
rnacentral:rRNA from 1 species